GUAUGCAUAUAAAUAAUAUGAUUAUGAAAAUAAUAUAAAAAGUACAUUUGUAAUCACCUUGUCAUAGUGCAUUCUGAGAUCGCCUUUUCCACAAAGAAUACACACAAUGCUUUGUCUAGAAAAGUCAUCUAGUUUUGGAAAAGCCUCCAAGUCAUGUGCAUAAUUUAAAUCAUAUGAUUUGUGAUUGAACUGUACCUCUCUUCUUGUUCAUUUUUCCUCUUACCCAUCUUUUGUUAUUUGAAUUAAUAGUGGGGUGACUGGCGUUGUCAUUUAUUUAUCAUUCCUCUGAGAGGAUCCAAGGACAGCGUAAGUUUGGCCAAGUCCCGUGAUAUUCAAGACUGCCAAGUUCUCUGCUGCCCUCCACACCGUGCAACCUCGGUGACGUGGAAUGUUUGCAUUCAUUAUCUUAUCUACCUUGACUAAAUCAAUCUGCUGAUAAGUGUUGAGGCAUUGAGGAAACGCUGCAUACAUCACAGGGAAAAAAAAGUCAUAAAAAACGCUGUUGGUUAUUGUCUACAAAAGAAAGUGGAGCGCAUGAAACGAUUCCAAGAUGCUGCUCUAAUUCCUUUUAUCUGCAGAUCAUUAUUCACUAAUGCUUUACUGCUUUCUGGGUGAAUACCUCAGAGAAUGUCUGAUUAAGAAAUCAUUUCACUUGGAAGUCUGGAGCUAAUGGACACCUGUGAAGGUACUAACAGGAAAUGUGGACUGUUUGAAAGUUUGAAAGAGGGAUUGGGUGUCACAAUAAAUGUGUUCGUUUUUUCUUUACGACACCUCCAAAUCACACCUGUCAGAUUCUCUCAGUUCAAAAAGGAUCAAAUUGAGAUUUAAGAAAGCUUUUGUUGGCUUUUUGUUCAUUUAGUAAUCCGCCCUGGCAGAGGUAGGUCAAAGGUCAGUUGGUUUGGUCUUUUGGCACAAGAAAAAAAGCAUCUGUCAGCAACCCAAGCUCAAAACACUUUCAUUACUCAAGGACAACUGCCACAAGUGGAAGGUUAGUUCCACACGAAUGGCCUGGAAUUCCAGGGGUGUCGCUCCAUGUCUGAGAGUCAGCUGCUCUGCCAGGGUGACCUCCAAGCACCAUUUACAUCAGAGCGCCGCCCGCUGCCUGGGUCACAUGUGUCUGUCCCAUUUCAGUAGUGUCUUGAAUCAGGAACAACCCUCUCCCUUCCUGAAGUUUCUCUCCGGGGAAAAGCACUGAGAGAGACUCUCGUUUAGGUCAAUGGAGAAGCAGCCCACAGAUCAAUGGCUGUGCUCGGUCACAUGGGGAGGGGGAUACCGGUGGAGAUGAUAAGCUUCCAUCUAAUUACACUGCAAGGCCGUUUCAAGGCCGCUUAGACCCUUACUCACCGCACCUCUGAAGGAAUCAGCAUUCAUUCUCAUGCGCAAAGCAGGUGCUCUAUCAGAACGCUGCUGUGAGCUGGGUAAAUACAGGAGAAUCAAAACUAAGAGCACAGAACUUGACAACUGUACUUUUCCAACCAACCAUGUGACUAACCAGAACCAGUUGCCAACUUCCCAGGAUAUUUGGACAGUUGGAGCAGAGGAAUUCAAAACAAGAGCGUAGCGUACUCUUACCAAAGCACUGAGGCCACGCCUUUUGGCCACUCCCCCUUCACUCCCGCUUGUUAUCAUAACGGCAUGUAAAGGUGCAACAAACUCGCGCUGGUGACGUGGUGUGCGGGUAAAGCCCGUCUGAAGCAGCUGUGCUUGUGUUGGGUUGAUACGAGGGCCUUAUGGUGGUCCCAUCUUGGUGCAAGGAUGAAGUUCAACUCACCCCGAGCGUCCCAGAGAUUUUAGUUGUUUACUCUCUUGCCGUAUGGGGCGAGUGUGAUUGUGAACCGUUUCCCUGUGAACCCAGAAGAACAGAAAACAAAGAACAUGGAAAAGUUGUGCACACAUGCACACAGCAGGUGUAACCAACAGAUGCAGCUACAUUAGAUUAGCUCAUAAAGCAACGCGCCGCCGGUAAUGUGAGGAGUUCAGCACGUUCAUCUCUCUCGAUCGCAUGCAUGUGGAGGGUGGAAAACACUCAGUGCAUUUAACACAACAAGAAUAGAGCGGCCCAAACAGCUGGGUGUUUGGUGAGCGAGCGCAUCUCACGCUUCAGGUUCUGUUUAAAGUUUAAACACAUCCAAGUGCAUGUAGUUUGGCUCCAGUCUGGCUGUUAGUGCGUAGAGAGCAGAACAGGGGGGUGGUGUCGGUAGGGAUGUGCAUGCUUGCUUAUUGUCAUGUCAUGUGAUCUGCUCUGGAAAUAGCCGCCUGUCACAAAGGAGGAAUGGAUCUGUGUGCCCUCUCCGGUAUGAUGGAAAUACAACUCUCAAAGGUGAACCUCAACCCCCUCUGUUCCCGAAAUAACCAAUGUAAUAUCAAUGUCCCACAAACAGUGCAUCAGAGAAAGGGAAAGGAGCGAGUGAGUGACAUGCCAGAAAAGAGCAGGAGAGCUGAUUCUGUGAGAGCGAGAGCGAUACGCUUCAGGUUUUGUUUCUGGGGAUGGCAGCAGAUUCAGGCCUUGAAUCAUGCAGUAUUGAUGAAGAAGAUCAUGGAACGCGGUACAUCUCUACUGGAUGUAUGUUUGCCAUACAGACCUGCAAACAUGUGUGCAGCUGUGAAUGUUUAAAGUGAUGAGAGCAAAGCGCAAGAGACUAGUACAUCAAA